rnacentral:rRNA from 1 species
UACAGAGACUGCAAGCGUUAUUCGGAUUCACUGGGCGUAAAGGGUGCGCAGGCGGUUGGGUGUGUCAGAUGUGAAAUCCCGAGGCUCAACCUCGGAACUGCGCCUGAAACUACUCGACUAGAGUACUGGAGAGGGUAACGGAAUUCACGGUGUAGCAGUGAAAUGCGUAGAUAUCGGGAGGAACACCAGUGGCGAAGGCGACUUCCUGGCCUGUUCUUGACGCUGAGGCGCGAAAGCUAGGGGAGCAAACGGG